GCUGCACCAUACUGAGGAGGGGGAUUAGGAACUCUAUCUACAGCCUUCCCUCUAGUAGAACUGGGAAAAAAAACAACAAGAAGGAAAAAAUGAGGGGAAUCCCUUGACUUGCAGCAGUGUCUGUGGCUGCAAAUGGUAGAACCUCUUGAUCCAGAUUAGAAAUUAAAUCAUUACCCCAAUAUAUUGAGCUCUAGUGUUGCUUUAUAUUGAGAAGGUAUCUCCAUCAAGGCCGCAAGGGAAAACUCUGCUUCUUUUCUAUAUCGGUCCAUGUUCAUUGACAUUAUUUCCGUAAAAUUCA
rnacentral:misc_RNA from 1 species